CAUCUUUGUGGGGUCAAUAAAAUAAAGUAACAGUGAAAUACUGGGGUAGACGUUAUAUUCUUAUAAAACAUUUGAGAUGUGAUUGGUAUUAUAACAGAAGACUACACUAACUUUACCUUUCAUCACUGUGGAAUUGAUAAGAUAAAGUAGCAGUGA